UACGUAGGGUGCGAGCGUUGUCCGGAAUCAUUGGGCGUAAAGGGCGCGUAGGUGGCGGGACAAGCGUGCGGUGAAAGCCUGGGGCUCAACCCCGGGUCGGCCGUGCGAACUGUUUUGCUUGAGCACUGUAGAGGCAGGCGGAAUUCCGGGUGUAGCGGUGGAAUGCGUAGAGAUCGGAAAGAACACCAACGGCGAAAGCACUCUGCUGGGCCGACACUGACACUGAGAGACGAAAGCUAGGGGAGCGAAUGGG
rnacentral:rRNA from 1 species